AGUGAACGCUGGCGGUAGGCCUAACACAUGCAAGUCGAACGGCAGCACAGUAAGAGCUUGCUCUUACGGGUGGCGAGUGGCGGACGGGUGAGGAAUACAUCGGAAUCUACUUUUUCGUGGGGGAUAACGUAGGGAAACUUACGCUAAUACCGCAUACGACCUACGGGUGAAAGCAGGGGAUCUUCGGACCUUGCGCGAUUGAAUGAGCUGAUGUCGGAUUAGCUAGUUGGCGGGGUAAAGGCCCACCAAGGCGACGAUCCGUAGCUGGUCUGAGAGGAUGAUCAGCCACACUGGAACUGAGACACGGUCCAGACUCCUACGGGAGGCAGCAGUGGGGAAUAUUGGACAAUGGGCGCAAGCCUGAUCCAGCUAUACCGCGUGGGUGAAGAAGGCCUUCGGGUUGUAAAGCCCUUUUGUUGGGAAAGAAAAGCAGCAGGUUAAUACCCCGCUGUUCUGACGGUACCCAAAGAAUAAGCACCGGCUAACUUCGUG
rnacentral:rRNA from 1 species